rnacentral:rRNA from 1 species
CCUACGGGAGGCAGCAGUGAGGAAUAUUGGUCAAUGGUCGGGAGACUGAACCAGCCAAGCCGCGUGAGGGAUGAAGGUACAGAGUAUCGUAAACCUCUUUUGUCAGGGAACAAAGGCGGGGACGUGUCCCCGGAUGAGUGUACCUGAAGAAAAAGCAUCGGCUAACUCCGUGCCAGCAGCCGCGGUAAUACGGAGGAUGCGAGCGUUAUCCGGAUUUAUUGGGUUUAAAGGGUGCGCAGGCGGGCUGUUAAGUCAGCGGUAAAAGCCCGGGGCUCAACCCCGGCCCGCCGUUGAAACUGGCAGUCUCGAGUUGGAGAGAAGUAUGCGGAAUGCGCGGUGUAGCGGUGAAAUGCAUAGAGAUCGCGCAGAACUCCGAUUGCGAAGGCAGCAUGCCGGCUCCACACUGACGCUGAGGCACGAAAGCGUGGGUAUCGAACAGGAUUAGAUACCCCUGUAGUC